rnacentral:lncRNA from 1 species
AUGAGGGUUACACUGAAGAGGGCCCAAUCUGGUCUCCUAUACAGUACAUUAGCAAGUGCUGCUACUGAGAGACCUCCAGCCACGUGUCCCUGCCAUGGAAGGACAAGGGUGUUUUGGUCCCAAGAGAGCUGCCUCAUUCAUGAAGAGAGGAGGGUGUCCAAGGCAGGGAUCAUUUGCUGGAACUGCUCCAAUCCUACUGCCCUUAAAUUUAUAAAACUCCCACUUGAGUCAAUGGGAGCUGUGCAUGCUGAAGAGCUACUGGGUGGAGGCUGUAAAUGUCUGACGCUGAUUGUGUGACACAUGGGCGCUCUUACGGCUGAUUGAAGGAACGACGCAUCAGCAGCAGAUGAGACCCCUGCACAAAUAGGAUAACAACACCAUGUCAAUAUUUUCCUAAUGUGUGAAUAAGUGCUGUGAGGGACAGGGCAUACAACAUUCCAGAAA